GUCGAGCGGAUGAGAGGAGCUUGCUCCUGGAUUCAGCGGCGGACGGGUGAGUAAUGCCUAGGAAUCUGCCUGGUAGUGGGGGACAACGUCUCGAAAGGGACGCUAAUACCGCAUACGUCCUACGGGAGAAAGCAGGGGACCUUCGGGCCUUGCGCUAUCAGAUGAGCCUAGGUCGGAUUAGCUAGUUGGUGAGGUAAUGGCUCACCAAGGCGACGAUCCGUAACUGGUCUGAGAGGAUGAUCAGUCACACUGGAACUGAGACACGGUCCAGACUCCUACGGGAGGCAGCAGUGGGGAAUAUUGGACAAUGGGCGAAAGCCUGAUCCAGCCAUGCCGCGUGUGUGAAGAAGGUCUUCGGAUUGUAAAGCACUUUAAGUUGGGAGGAAGGGCAGUAACUUAAUACGUUGCUGUCUUGACGUUACCGACAGAAUAAGCACCGGCUAACUCUGUGCCAGCAGCCGCGGUAAUACAGAGGGUGCAAGCGUUAAUCGGAAUUACUGGGCGUAAAGCGCGCGUAGGUGGUUUGUUAAGUUGGAUGUGAAAGCCCCGGGCUCAACCUGGGAACUGCAUUCAAAACUGACAAGCUAGAGUAUGGUAGAGGGUGGUGGAAUUUCCUGUGUAGCGGUGAAAUGCGUAGAUAUAGGAAGGAACACCAGUGGCG
rnacentral:rRNA from 1 species